UUAUAAAAGUAUUUCAGUUUAAUAGUUCAGCUCACUCACUCGAUUGCAAAAUCUUUCCCAUGCACGUCACAUGAAACUGUAAUAGCGAAUAACACCCCCUCCGUGUGGGCUCUUCUUCUCUUUGUUACUUUUGAUUGACCGUUCACUCCAACAGAAAGGAUUGACCGGUGGUGAAGAUAUAGCACAGCGUCUUGUUUCCAUCAUCCAGUAGUGCAUCAUUUCUAUCUAUUUGAUCAUCAUCUCUGCUCCUGAUGCUGUGAUGAUCUUCGUCGUCCUGUCAGCUCCACCUCCGUUCGUUAACCAUCAGUGAUGAUGAAUCGAGUCGAAUAUUGGACGAUGGAGAUCAUGCGAUGCGGUAAUGUGCGUAAUCCUCCCGUUCUUUUAUAUGUUGUCAACUGGACCAGGAUGAACCAAGACCACGGGACGAUGUUGUGUUGUGGGUAAAUUAGCAACAAACAACACGAGUGGCGAAGACGAGUGAGAGACGAAUGGCUUAUCACCAAUUGGAGUAGGAGGAUAAAUAAUUAUUUAGUCUGUUUUACUACUUCAGCCAGGCAGCCAGUCCAGUCCACAAAGUCCAGUCCAAUAUCUUCUUACUUAUAGAUACUAUUUAUUUACUGUCCAACCUGAAAUGGAGAAACACUACAUAAAUAAAUAAAGCGAACAUUAUGCUAAUUUACCAGUUUAACGAAACUCUAUUACCAAAACUAUUAAUAAUUCCAGUCCAGUCCAGUCAGGUUUCAGAGGGCAGAAUGAUAUGGCUCCUAUUCGAACGAAAUUAAUUGCACACCGAGUAAACCACCCACCCACGCACGACCACCACACACUUUACUAUUAAUGGAAGCAGAUUGGACAAUAAUUAAGUAAAUAGAGACAAAUAAUUAGUUUUUCGACCGGAGAUGAGUAAUUCACAAACAACAAGAGCCACAUGGAUGGAGCAAACGGGAGUUGUGUUGAUUCUGGUAUGAAGCUCAAAGUCCGCGUCCCGAUCUGCCCCGCAUCCUCAACAACAAAACAACAAAAAAACGACAUCGUUCUUUCUUUCUGACGACAUCAACGUGACAAGAUCGUCACGCCACGUUUUAUUAUGCAAGUAGUACUGGAAUAGUACUACAAUAGUACUAUUUGCACCACAAACAUGAGGUGCAAAUUGAGUCCUGUAAAUUGCAGUACAUAUGCAAAUUAUGGUAAAUACUAUCAGGGAAAAAUUGCCAAUGUGAGACAUAUCUGCUAUAUAACAUAAAUAUGAACAUGUACUUACUCGAGGUGGAAAUUCAGUGCUAUAAAUUGCAGUAAGCAAGUAUAGUAAAUAGUAUCAGGAAAACAUUUGUAAGAAUUUCCAAUCUGCGACAUACUUACAACAUAAAUAGAACACAUUUUUGUCUUUUUUUUCAACGCAAUUGCACAAUACGAGUAGAAUGUGAGGAAUAUUACGGUGAUCUCUGAUCCAUCCAUCCAUCCAUUUCCAUUAGCCAUAUUAUUAGAGUGAUGUUAGGUUUCUAUUAUGUCCUUGAACCAGAUUCUCAUCUCUCCUCUGUCUCCUUUUUAUCGGAAAAUCUUUUAAAAAAUCAACCUUCUUAAAAAUGGGAAUUUCCUCGGCUUAUUAUCUACUUACUCCAUAAGUGAGAUGACAUAACUAUGCUUUUUCUAUCGAAAAUAGGGACCCUUCUUUUGUCAUACCGAGUAAGAAGACUGGAGCCUUUAACAAUAAAAAUGCGAUCGGAUCAGCAGACGUUUAAAAUCUUUCUUUAAAAUGCACCUUCAUUUUUUCUCUAAAAAACUUUAGGCAACGAGAAAUGUUAUCCAGUCGGAAGGGAAACUUGGUUUCGAGAAGGUUUCCACGUCUCUAAAUUUUCAAUCGUCGAAGUUUCACAUACUUUUUACGACGCCAUGAAGGGAAUUCUUGUCCUGCUGGGGGUCUUGGUGUAUCAGGGGACUGCCUGCUCCUCCCACUGGGGAUACACAGACUACGGUGGUCACGGCGUCCACUCUCACUCGUCUUAUCGUGCCUCUGCUACCCAUCAUCACGCUAGUGGUCCAGGUCACAUUCACGGAGGAGGUGGUGCCUUACAGCACGGUCAUAUUCAUCAGCCUGGCGGAAUGCGACAUGGAAUGAUGGAAUCCGCCCUCGCUAACCUUGAACGAGGUCGAGCUUCCCACGGGCAUGGUCACGGGCAUGGUCACCACGGGGGAGGAGGGGGCCAUCGUCACUCGUCUCACCAUCACCACACCUCCCACCACCACCACAAAUAAACUGCAUGAAUGCGCCACCAUUAGAGACCGUCCGGACACCACCACCAUCAUCUCAACUUCAUUUCUACGCCCAGUUGGGGAGGUGGGGGCUACGUCGGCGGCGGCGGUCCCUACGACUGGUGGAGCCUUUCCUUCAGUAUUCUCUUCCUCUUUCUCUUCAUCGCCAUUCUUUACUACCUGGACGAUUAUGACCACUACCACAUCGACGACUACGACUAUGAGGACGACUACUACAAGAAGAUCAGGGCCGACAAGCUCGCAAAUAGUACCAUUAAAAAGCCCUGAAUGUUUUUGUUUUUCUGAAAUCAUGUAUCUAAUUUUUUACUACAUAACUUUUUUCACGAAAAUUUCCAUUAAAUUGUCACUAAAUACCAAUUUGUCACCUAAAUUUCUAUUAAACAAAUUUUUUUUCGUAUUUGACAUAAUUUCAAUAAAAUACCAAU